GACAGUUCCUUUGUAGAGUCUGAGUUUUGGCUGUGAUGUGCAGGAGCAGCGUGAAGAAACUAAGUCAUCAGCAUAUUGGACAAGGAGACAGUUGCUUGUAAAGUUUAAUAGAUCGUUUAUGUUUAGUGAACAAGAUCGGACCUAAUAUGGCGCCUUGUGGAGCACUGGAAGAAUUUUGACUGACUGCGUCCUUGUUGAUAGAUAACUUCUGAACCAAUAGUUGUCUAUUCCAAGAUUUUUCAUUUUGUUAAGCAGGAUUUCAUGGCUGACACUGUCAAAUGCUUUUGACAGAUCACGCAAGUGAUGGGCAGGUACCGGUGACUAUAGAUGUCAGCCUCGUCCUGGUUGUGUAUGGUGGGGCCAAGGAAGCAGCUGUCUGUUCAUAGGAGCAGCGUGAAGAAACUAAGUCAUCAGCAUAUUGGACAAGGAGACAGUUGCUUGUAAAGUUUAAUAGAUCGUUUAUGUUUAGUGAACAAGAUCGGACCUAAUAUGGCGCCUUGUGGAGCACUGGAAGAAUUUUGACUGACUGCGUCCUUGUUGAUAGAUAACUUCUGAACCAAUAGUUGUCUAUUCCAAGAUUUUUCAUUUUGUUAAGCAGGAUUUCAUGGCUGACACUGUCAAAUGCUUUUGACAGAUCACGCAAGUGAUGGGCAGGUACCGGUGACUAUAGAUGUCAGCCUCGUCCUGGUUGUGUAUGGUGGGGCCAAGGAAGCAGCUGUCUGUUCAUAG